GCGUGAAUGGGGUAGUGGUAACCUUAAUCGUUGCCAAAACAGCACAACUCGAUUAGCCAGGGGUUCGAUUCCCCUUUCACGCA
rnacentral:tRNA from 1 species